GAAAAAAUACUGAACCACUGGUUGAAAAGAUCCCAUUUCAUGCCUCUGUUCCGCUGAAGACUUACACUGCAAAGGAUACUUACAACACUGGGUUAUAUCUCUGGAACAGAGCAAAUUCACCUCAUGUCUCUCCAGAAGACUGACUCAUCCCCCGCAUUUAUCUCAGACUAGAAAGUGACUCCGUAUUUCAUUCCAGCUAAAUCUGAACACAACUAACUUCCUUUUCGGGAACCUUCCCCGGCUUCCCUGAUGAGCACGUCUCACGUUUGGAGAUCAAAAAUGUGAUGUGUCCAUUUAGAAACUGCCUACCUGCAGGAAAGAAAAACUUACAACACCGGACAUCUUUGAUGCUGCCCCAGAUCGAUGUUGUGCUGGGAUUUCUUGGAGAGGAUGUAUGCUGGGAGUGUACAUCAGCCUUGUCUCCAAGACAAGACACACUGGAAGCACUGAGAGUACUGUGGAGUGUGUAUCAGGAGGCAUUCCGGUGCAAGGUCGAAGGAUGGUUUCAAUGAUAAAGUGUAAGUGUUGUAUCUGAAUUUUAAAAGCCAAUAAAUAGGUCGUUCUGGGGUUGGCUUGGCACCACAGCCGUGCCAUCCUUCCCCAGGCCCUUUCUGUCUUUCUACUCUGCUGUUCUCACCUUCUCCCUUGGGCUAUCACCUCAUGGUCACAAGGUGGCUGCUGCAACAGCAACCACCUCAACUAUAUUCAAUGGCAGGAAGUGGAGCAGGGCUGGGAUAGCAAAAAAGGACCUCUUUGCAUGAGCCCUCACAUGGCUUCCUUUCCUUUAUGCAAGAAGAAACCUCUUCCCUGAAAGCCCCUGCUGACUUCCCAUUGAGUUAUUGACCAGAACAGGGUCACUAGGCACCCUGGCUGCAAGCAACACUGAGAAUGCACGUAUCCGGCUCACCCUGUCUUUGUAGCUGGAGAAAGGCAUUCAGCAGGGCUUUGGGGUUGGAAACCAACAGUUUCUGCCCCAGGGUGUUGGACCAUAGUGAAAAACUGGGACUCUCCAGCCCCACACAUGGAGUGAACUGAGAGUUGGGACAAGUGAGGCACGACCAGGCUUCCUGAUUUCCCCAUCAGGGUCUGGCCUUCCUGCCAACUUCAGACAGAAGUCUGAGCAAGCACCUCCCCGUCAGCCUCCCCUGUGCAAUGAGAGGCUUAGAGCAAUCCCAAAGAAACAACAAAAGGGCCAGGUCAUUGCUAUUUUUAACCAUGUUUAACAAAAAACAGAAUUGAGGUUGUUGGGGGGUGAAUUAUUGAAUCACCACAUUAAUUACUGAAAGAGUGAGUACGGGAAGAUUUUCAAGAA